CGACCGGCGCACGGGUGCGUAACGCGUAUGCAACCUACCUUUUACAGGGGCAUAACACUGAGAAAUUGGUACUAAUACCCCAUAAUAUCUCAUGCGGCAUCGCAUGGGGUUGAAAACUCCGGUGGUUGAUGAUGGGCAUGCGUUGUAUUAGCUGGUUGGUGAGGUAACGGCUCACCAAGGCGACGAUACAUAGGGGGACUGAGAGGUUAACCCCCCACAUUGGUACUGAGACACGGACCAAACUCCUACGGAAGGCAGCAG
rnacentral:rRNA from 1 species